rnacentral:rRNA from 1 species
UACGAACCGUGCGAACGUUAUUCGGAAUCACUGGGCUUAAAGCGCGUGUAGGCGGGACGGCACGUCGGUCGCUGAAAGCCCCCGGCUCAACCGGGGAACGGGCGCCGAUACGACCGGCCUGGAGGGACGUAGGGGGACCUGGAACUUCCGGUGGAGCGGUGAAAUGCGUUGAGAUCGGAAGGAACGCCCGUGGCGAAAGCGAGGUCCUGGACGUUUUCUGACGCUGAGACGCGAAAGCCAGGGGAGCGAACGGG